rnacentral:misc_RNA from 1 species
AAAUGCGAUAAGUAAUGUGAAUUGCAGAAUUCAGUGAAUCAUCGAAUCUUUGAACGCACAUUGCGCCCGCCAGUAUUCUGGCGGGCAUGCCUGUUCGAGCGUCAUUACAACCCUCAGGCCACCGGGCCUGGCGUUGGGGAUCGGCGGAAGCCCCCUGCGGGCACAACGCCGUCCCCCAAAUACAGUGGCGGUCCCGCCGCAGCUUCCAUUGCGUAGUAGCUAACACCUCGCAACUGGAGAGCGGCGCGGCCACGCCGUAAAACACCCAACUUCUGAAUGUUGACCUCGAAUCAGGUAGGAAUACCCGCUGAACUUAAGC